AAAACUUUCUUCCAAGGACA
rnacentral:tRNA from 1 species